UUUUAGUAUCUGCAAACCCGGGGGGCGGGGGAGAAGUAACUGGGUGGCCUCCCCCGCCCCUCCCGCAUUCAGGCUCAGCAAAUGCGCUGAGCGCCAGGGCGCCCGCCCUCCGCCACCCACCGCCCCAGACCCAACAGGACUGACCUGCCUCUCGCUUGGGAGGAAGGGGGGCGCCUGGCGAGUGGCAGCAGGGACCCGUGGUCUCGGGGGGUGCAGGGUUCCCCCUCUUCUCAUCACUCCUCCUCGGCAGUUCUCCUCGGCCCCCGGCGUGUCCCCCCCCGCACCCCCGGCCUAGGCGAGCGUCCAGCCGCGACACCCGGCUCGCUACAUUUCGCCUCUGCGUUACAGCGAGGCCGCCGCUCCGCUUCCACGAGGGCCUGUGGCCUUCGGGAAGACCGGGAAGCGUUGAUGUGGAGCCAGCCAGCUCUGACCCCGCGGGCUCAAGCAGCCAUCCCCGUGCUCCUUCCCGCGCUCGGCACCCGGAGAGAACCGUCCCCACCUCGUCCUUGGACACAGCCCUUCUCUUGUUGGCUCGGCACCUCGCGCUACCUCCGGAUCCCGUGUUCCUCUAAGCAAAUGGCUCAGCCCUGACCCAACCGGCCUUAAUAACGUCCCAGUUUUGGAAGGGGUGGGGGUGAGCGGGCGGGAGGAAAAAGAGGUCAGAUUCGCGCCUGGGGUCCCACGGGCACCACCUGAGGGAGGGGCGGCGGGAGCUUGGCUUCCUCUGACCCACUGAUCCUGGUGGCAGCACAGGGGAGAGAAGUCUCCAUCCCGGGCUAAACGAAAUCCAACUUUCCCUGACGCACCUUGUGGGAUCAAAGAGGGGUGUUCCCAUCUCGCCUUUUGCCACUUCCUCCCUGGGGUAUCUUCACCUCUACAACGCAAACUCAGUACCAGCUCUCUUUGGGAUGUUUUUGUGCAGGGGGUGUGACCUACCCCAGAAAGGAACUGCUACCCCCCCCCCCCCCCGGUUUUCCCCUCUUGUCAGUGGAACCUGUGACCAGUGGUUCCUUCCUGUCCUUUUCCACAGGGAAAGUGGCUCAGGGGGCAUUCUAGCGUGACUCCAGACCCCUGGAUGGUGUUUGGAGUAAUGCUGGGCCUGGGGAGAGGAGAACACAGUACUGGGUUUGAAGCUGUUGGCUGCCUUUCCCUCCUUCGGACACACACGAACACACACAGCAACCUGAGCAAGUAGUUCCUUUGGACAAGGGUGACAGACAUAAGCAACCUGCCCCGUCACCUCCCACUCUAGGAUUUAGGAAUAUUUCAGUUUAGCUGCUAGGACAUUCGCAUCAAGGGCCUGCAGUCUCACAGGAUCUCUAGAGGAAAUGUCAGUGUCUCAGAACCCCAAUUUUGGGGGCGCCUGGGUGGCUCAGUCGGUUAAGUGUCUGCCUUCAGCUUGGGUCAUGAUCCCAGGGUCCUGGGAUAAAGCCUCUCCACAGGCUCCCUGCUCAGUGGGGAGUUUGUUUCUCCCUAUCCUUCUACCCCUCCCCCUGCUCCUGCUCUCUCUCAAAUAAAAAAAAUAAAAUCUUAAAAAAAAAAAAAAAAGAACCCCAAUUUUGGCUUCAACCAUCGGGUCUCUUUGCCUGGAGACAGACGUAGCUGCUAGACAAGGAAACAGUGGGCUCUAUCCAAAAGGAUCCGUUUUUGAAUAGGGGGUGUAGGAUUAAGUGGGACAUUAAGGCUGAUGUAUCUGGAAACUUUCACUCAGGGGCCGGAGACAAUUCCUGUCCUGCUCCGUUCAACAGUCUUCCCUGUUGCUUUAAAUCGGUGCCACAGCUCAGCCACCUGUAGGUAAAAUCUUGAUCUCCCCCAUUGCCUCCCCACCUUCCAUUUUUUUACCCACCUAAAGACAGUUCACCUCUCCUGUGGCUUUUGUUGUUGUUGUUUUUAAUCAAAGUAUACCAGACAUGUGUGAAAAUGCACAAAGCCUAAGUGUACAGGUCAACAAAUUAGGACACAGUGAACAUACCCAUAUAACUGGGGCCCAAAUCAAGAAUUAAAUCAUUACUGGAAUCCCAGAAGCCCUCCUCAUUUUCCCUCCCAGCCACUACCCCACCCUCCUUACCAAAGGUAACCUCUAACACCACAGAAUAGUUUUGCCUGGUUUUGAACUUUAUUUUUAUCUUUUUAAAGAUUUUAUUUAUUUAUUGGACAAGAGAGAGAGGCACACAGUGAGAGAGGGAACACCAGCAGGGGGAGUGGGAGAGGGAGAAGCAGGCUUCCCUCCGAGCAGGGACCCCUAUGCGGGGCUCCAUCCCAGGGUCCUGGGAUCAGGACCUGAGCCAAAGGCAGAUGCUUAAUGACUGAACCACCCAGGUGCCCCGUGGUUUUGAACUUUAUAUAAACGAAACCAUUUGUGUAGGUAUCAUUAGGUAUCAUUUUGUGUCUGGUUUCUCUCAAUAUUAUGUCUGUGAAGUUCAUGCAUAUCACAUUGUGGUAGCAGUGGCUCAUUCAUUUGCAUUGUUUUACUAUAUGGCAUUAAGUGAACAUUCUAUAAUUUGUUUAUCUGUUAUUCUGUGUUUUUUUGUUUUUUGUUUUUUUAAGUAGCCUCCAUGCUUGUGGAGCCCAACGCGGGACUUGAACUCACGACCCUGAGUUCAAGACCUGAGCUGAGAUCAACAGUCAGAUGCUUAACCGACUGAGCCACCGAGGUGCUCCUAUCUGUUAUUCUGUUGAUGGACAUUUGAGUUGUUCCCAGUCUGAGGUUAUUAUGAAUAAUGCUGCUAUAACAAUUUUGUUUGUGUCCUUUGGUACACUUAUGUUCAUAUUUCUGUUGGAUAUAUUCCUAGGAACAGAAUUACUAGGUCAUAGAGUAAUCCUGUGUUUAGUGUUAGUGAAUGCCCCUAAAUAAUUUUUUGAACUGCUUAUGUUAAUUACACUCCCGCCAACAGUGUUUUAGAGUUCCAGUUACAUCACAUUUUCAGCACACUUUGUAUUGUCCAUCUAAAAAGAUUUAAAAAUUUAACCAUUCAGGUGGGUAUAUAGUGGCAUCUCAUUGUAGUUUAAAUUUACAUUUCCCUGAUAACCAAUGAGGUUAAGCACCUUUUCAUAUCUUUUGUCAUUUGGAUAUCUGUUCAAGUAUUUUGUCCAUUUUUGGGGGGU
ensembl:lncRNA